rnacentral:rRNA from 1 species
CCUACGGGGCGCAGCAGUGGGGGAUAUUGCACAAUGGGGGGAACCCUGAUGCAGCGACGCCGCGUGGGUGAAGAAGCGCCUCGGCGCGUAAAGCCCUGUCAGCAGGGAAGAAAAUGACGGUACCUGAAGAAGAAGCCCCGGCUAGCUACGUGCCAGCAGCCGCGGUAAUACGUAGGGGGCAAGCGUUAUCCGGAUUUACUGGGUGUAAAGGGGGCGCAGACGGCGAUGCAAGCCAGGAGUGAAAGCCCGGGGCCCAACCCCGGGACUGCUCUUGGAACUGUUUUUCUUGAGUACUGGAGAGGCAG